GACAGAGGGGGCAAGCGUUGCUCGGAGUUACUGGGCGUAAAGGGCGCGUAGGCGGAUCUUUAAGUCAGGGGUGAAAUCCCGGAGCUCAACUCCGGAACUGCCUUUGAUACUGGAGAUCUUGAGUCCGGGAGAGGUGAGUGGAACUGCGAGUGUAGAGGUGAAAUUCGUAGAUAUUCGCAAGAACACCAGUGGCGAAGGCGGCUCACUGGCCCGGUACUGACGCUGAGGUGCGAAAGCGUGGGGAGCAAACAGG
rnacentral:rRNA from 1 species